ensembl:lncRNA
CCCCCCCCCCCCCCCCCCAGCUUCCCUCAGUCCCUCCAGGAGACAAGGCAGAACCCAAAGGCUGAGAGAGGGAGGCCGCAGUGGCCCCACCACCCCCAGCCCGCUGCGGCCCUGGAGCACCAGCAAAGACUCCAGGGCUUUCCCAAGCACACGUGUCUGCAAGCACACACGUGUUCACGAAAGGACGAGAAGCAUUAGAGGGCAGGAAGGUAAUCUUGUAAUUAAAGGAAAGCCUGUUUUUCAGGAAAAUCUCCACCUUGUGGGGACCUUACCUUAAAGGAAGCCAAGGUGGGUCGGAGAGCUCCGCAUCACCUGCUCUGGGUGCCUUUCAGGUGAGUUAAUCACCCAAGCAGGGCUGUCUCCAGAUUUCAGGACACACCCAACUUUGUGCCAUUCCCUUUCAAUUCUCUGAUAGUCCCUUUGAAAACAGGCUGUUCCUUUUGUUCAGGAGUAUUAAUUCAAAUUCCUUUCUAAGGUCAACACAGACGUGGGACAGCAACCCAAAGGAGGUUUACCCGUUAAGUUUCUUUCAAGUCAUAUUAAAGGAUUUAUUUUAAUGCGAGAAGCACACGUCUGCUGAUCAGAAGAACACUUUUGAAGGGAGUAAAAGCAACAUGAAGGAGGUGCAUUUUUUUGCAUUUUACAAAUGGGAAGGAUUUUUAGACCCACAGUGGACGAGAAGCACUGCCCUCCCACCUCAGCCCUGUGGUGUUUUUGGACUCGCAGAAAACCACCACCAAAGGUGAGGCUGCCCACCAGGUUCAGGCCAAGAGCUAUUCGGAUUAACAUCUUCUAAACACCAUCCGACCUCGGGGAGAAAGGAAGGCUCUGUUACCCAGGAUAAAAGUCACAAUUCUCCAUAAAACCAAAAGCAUCACUUGCCCCAUGAAUAAGAACCCAACCAUUUUAUCACAAUUUUUGUGAAUAUUAAGCCAACUCCAGGCAACCAUCUGUUAAAUUUAGCUACAGAAACAGUUAAAGCAGAUCAUUUCUAAAACAUUCGCUCGGGGCUGGACUAGGCUAGAUGCAGAGGAAACAUCAGCUGGCCCCGAAGUUCUAACCAAGGGACCUCGCUAAAAUCAGAACACGCAUCACCCCCAUCAGUGGGCAAUGUCGACACUGAGUCCACUGACGGGAGGAAUUAAAAAGAAAGGUCGCAGGAGUGCGUGCAACAUUGGCUAUAGAGCUGGCUCCACUGUGGAGCCACAGCUCCCACGUGGAAGCAAGAGGGCUUUGUCAACAGAGGACGAGGAUGCCACACAGAGGAGCUGUUUCAGAAAUGGCAGCAGCUGCGCAGCAAAACACGGAAAUCCAACAAAUACUCACGUUAGGGGCACUUUCCCUCACACGACAGAAAGAUGAAAAUCUGCUUUAAUGUAAGGAGAGUCAUAAAGAUAAACAUAACUGCUUCCUGUGACUUAAGAUGCCUCGAUUUCUGGUACGUGUGGAAUAGGAUUUCUUAAAAUUGCAUUUCUAGGCGAAAAAAGUUUGCUUUUUUACGCUUGCUUUGAAGAACUCUAGCCUCUGCUUUUAAAAAUCUCGCCUCCAAAAAGCAGAUUACUGAGAAGAAAAAGCACACAAAGUUCCCUACUCGUCCAGGAAAGACCACCUUCUAAGAGAAACUCUGGAAAGAGAGUGGGCCAGUGCCCAAAUUUCCAUGCCCGGCAAAGACAGAUGAAUGUGACGCUGGUUCCCAUCCUGUCUGUGGCUCCUGAGUCUCUGUGUUCUCGAGCAGUUAUUAGAAUGAAGGGGAAACUGCCCCUUGGCUCCCAUUGUCAACAUUCCACACAAACAAUGGCCUGGCGCUCUCCCUAUUAUCCAUUCUGUAUUCAUUUGUGAAUCCCCCCUUUUUUGCACAAUGUGCAAAGCCCUUCCUUUCACUGGUGAAGUCCUGAAUGCCCAAGUGCAGCCACAAUUUAGACUUUAAACAUUAAUAAUGAUAGCUAAAAGCAAACUACGAUUAUGCCCAAACAUUCAUUUGUGAAUAUCAUUAGAGUCACAUUGAUGGCUUUUGGAUACUAUCCAUUAAAUCAUGAUCAAAAGAAACACUGAACACCUUAAAAAUGGUUCUGAAGUUUUUAGCAAUUAUUAAAUAUAAUUUUCCAAACCCAGAGAUAGGGUUUUAGAAAAAAAAAAAACCCUUUCAUAUGUCUUUGAUACAUAUUCCAUCAAACACAGACAUGAAUAAAAAUUAACUUCAAAAGAUUGGGUGAGGGGGAAGCCUCACAUUUUUCCUUCUUUCCCAGGGAGCUGUAACUUUAACUGUGGCGAUGUAAAUUAGGACAUGCUUACCAGCUGUAAGGCAGAAAACUGAUAUCUGCCCAGGCAGUACAGCCUCCGAGAGCACAUCCAUUCCAGCAUUUUCCUGCGCCUACUCAAAGUUCUCGGGAGGGGAAGUCCACACAAGCAUUUCUUGGCUGGCGAUUCACAGGAAGAUUCUUGGGGAAUAAGGCACCCCAAUUAUUUCACUAUUGGGUGUCCCUUCUGUUAAGGAUUAAGCACUUCUUUUCAACUGCACUCCCAUUUUUAAAUUACUACAAAAAUGGGUUCCACCCUCUGGAUCAGAACUAUCAGCCAGGCGGUGGAAAUAUUACCUGAGUUGUAUGCCCUGCCCAACAGAUAAAUUUGCCUUCCCAAUCAUGUCCUCUAUGAAUAUAUAUUUUUGGCCCGUAUCAGGGACAUGGGACAUUUGGGCUGCUGCUUUUCACUGAUAGAAAGAUUAUUAACAGAGGGACCCAGGCUGCACUCACAUACGUUAUGAUGACAGCCCUUCUAUAUUGAAAUGACAGUGGUAAAAAAUGACAACUGGGGCGGCCAUUCUACCGUUGCUGUAAACUCUUUAAAUUUUUUCCAUUUAGGGAAAGCGUUAAGUGCAAAGGGUAUAACUUUGCCUUCAAAAAUGAUUCAUGAUGGGAGAGAACUGUUGGCAAAUGGCAUUCUGGUGCUAGAUCUCAGCGGGGCCCUUUUUGUUUUUAAUCUGCGAAUCUUAAGGAUUUCAAAUGGUGUGAGCCAUAGCCGAGCUCCCUCUGCUUCCAUGUUUUAAGUUCCCAAAUAUCCUUUUCAAAUCCAGUGCGUUGCUGGUUUGGUACCUAUUGAAUAUACCCAUCAUACAUUUCUCUGGUAGCUAGCCACUCAGAACACUGAAAAAGUUGCAGGCCGAUUUGGUGGUUUUGUUUGUUUGUUGUUGUUGUGGCUAUUUGUUUCAUUUCAUGUCUCCUUAAAACACUUUUCAGACUUAUGAAUAGGAUUUCUAUUUGGAAUUUUCGAAGUCAAGAGUAAAGUUAUUGAUUAUUCCCUGAAAGGCUAACUGAUGGGCUGGUUAAUAAUUAUCCAGAUAGCAGGUCUUCCUGUUUCGUCUUGUGUACCCAACCAGAUUAACAAUGCCAGGGAAAGCAAACUCAACUCCGCGGGGACAGGAACAGGUGUGCCCUGACUCUGAAAAGGCCAAAAUAUCUCACAAAGUAUGUCACUGGUGUAUUUUUACAAUGCUAGUAGUGUUUGUUUUUAAGUAGCCAAACUUUUUUCCUUUAACUUUAAAAGAGACAAACUUUGUAAAUAUUUCUUCACUGAGUUGUUAUGACCAAGGCCCAGAAGAAGCUGCAACUCAUGCCUAGCAAAGGAAUACAUUUUAGGGACAAAGAGGAUUUUUAAAACAUCAGUUAAGAAAAGGUAAUUUACCCUGCCCCUCCCCCCAGGAGAACACUCAUUCAAGGGCCAGUUUCAAAGAUCCCGAGUGAAGCUGUAAAUAACACAGGGCUCUGAGCUCAAUCUGCAGAGCCACGCCACCCUCCUCUUGGCCCUAUUAAGCUACAAUUAGAAAUGAGGGAGACGGCAAACCCCUUAGCCUUAUCUUCCCAAAAAGAAAAAGAUUUCCACCAAAAAGCUACUUGUCAGGUUCAAAACAAGCUCCAAACCCAAGAUUUUUAAAUUCCCCCUAAUAACGGCUUUCUACAGGGCCAAUCUGGGGUCCCCUACCCCUGGGGCACAGAAACCAAUCAGCGCCAUAAAUUCCCUUCGCCUUCAACCUUGCUCCCUUGUACUAGGGGCAGACUGGGGGGGGAGGGGGCCACCGGACAUCAACACUUACACUAAACCCCUCAAUGCUCUACAGAAAUAUGCUGGCUUAUUUCCUUUGUUUGGUCCUGUUAUACUUGAUCAAGUGUGAACGAUUAAACUGGUUUCAUUAAAGGCAAGUGCAUUCACGGCUAACAUCCAACUUCAAUGGCAACUGUAAGCAUAUUUUGCAAGAAGGAGGGCCUGCUUUUUUGCUCGAAACCUACCAUCUCAUUAACUUUUCUUUUGGGGGCAAUAAAAAGGGCACUCUGGGUUUUUACAGGAGAGUAUCAGAGCAGUUUAGAGAUCUGAUACCAGACAAAAGGAUAUUUAGUGUUCCAACUCUAGGAUACCGUCCCUGUUACUUGAAAAAAGAAAAGAAAUCCUGUUUCAAUAUUAAAGUUGCUCUGACAAAGUGUUAAUUAGCGUUUUGAAUAUCACUUUAUAAUUGCUGUAAGGAAAACUUUUUGAAAUCAAAUCAUUAUAAAAACAAGAUCCUUUAAGGUCUCGUUACUUUAAAAUGUAAAAGAUUUAUUUAAAAAAAAAAUUUCAAAAGAGUGGAAUUCUCCGAAGUCCGUGAAAACUAGUUCUACUUUGAGGCAGAACAGCAGUCUUAGGCACUGAACACGAGGUAAUUUUUAAACUGUCUUUGAACCCCCAGCACCUAGUGCGAAGAGUAUCUUCUUUGAAAGAGUAGUACGAGAGUUUGAUGUAUUUCGCCAAAGUCGGGAGGCAGAAUCACUUUGUAAACUAACCAAAAAAUACGUCCCCUCCAAAUUAUCCAUGUCAGAUAAAAAUAUACCAGCCUCUAGAAUAUCCGACAGAAUUGCAAAUAAGGCACUUAGCAUUUUAAAUUCCCAAUGCAUAUUUAUAGAACAGAAUUCUCCUGUCUAUCCUUCAAGCCACUCAUAUCUGACUCUCUAAGAACUUAACCUGAUCUCCUAUCUUUAAAGAAAAAAGGAUGGGAAUCCAGAAAGAUCUGUUUACCCCGGAUAGGGCAAGUCGGGUAGGGCAAGUGAGCCCGGCAUGACGACGUAGGCCACUGCCAGCCGCCUCCACCGCAAGGACGCAGAGCAAGCGGGGAUUUCUACGAAAAAUUCCUCCUUUCUCCCGUAAAAUACUAAACGUGGGGACCCCCUGGAGCCAACUGCUGCUUAGGCCGCCUCCGGAAAAAGUACUCGGGGGCAGGGAGGGGGGAGCACCAACACACUCGCGCGCACACGCACACUCAGUGUCCGUGACCAUCGGCGACGGCGGAAAGCGAGCCACCGGAGGGAGUGUGUGCGCGUGUGUGUCUCGCCGCGGCCAGCGGUGACCGCGCCGAGCUCCCGGGCCCGCGGCCUCCCAGCACCAGGGCGCUGCGUGGGCUGCGGGCGAGCGGCCACGCCGCGGGGCCUCCCGCUGGAGAAAGGCCCCGGCGCGCCCCGGCUCCCGCGCGCCUCUGCCCAACUUGCCCCGGGGCGCUGGGAAGAGCGCGAGGGAGAGAAAGAAAGGCUCUUCCCCUCGGCCGCGCGGGUCCGUCCAGCGCCGCGGAGGACAAGGAGGAAGAGGCGACCGCGGCGGCCCGGCUGUCGCUGCGCAGCGCCGGGUCCCAGCCGCCCCGGGCGCGCCCUCGCCAGCCCCUCCUGCGAAACUUUUUCUUUUUGGUUCGCCCCACCCGAAAAGUGAGGCUGGGGCGGGGGAGGCGGGCGGGCCGGGUUCGCGGCGGCGGCGGGCGAGGAGGAAGUGGUGCCCGCGGGAGCGCGGCCGGGCAGAGAAAAUGCCCGGCCCCGCCCGGCCCCCGCCCGCGCCCGCCGCCCGGCCCACCCCGGGCCCCCGCCCCGCUGCGACUUUGGCGGGCCGAGCCCGGCGCGGUAGUAGUGGCGGCGGCGGCAGAUGUGGCCCGGCUGCCCGGUGGAGCCAACAAUGCGGGGCCGGCAAAACAAAAGGGUUCCACUUCGCCUCCUUUCCCGUCUUUCACUUGCGCUCCCAGGGCGCCGCGCGGGAUCCCCGGCCAGCAGGGGCCGCUCCCCUGGGGGCCCCGAGCCGCGCGCGCCCCGGUUUCCCCGCGGACCCCCGCUCUCCCCUCGCCCCCGCCCCGCAAACGCAAGGCCCCGCGCGCUCGGACUCCCGGUCCCGGGGGAUCCGGUCGUAUUGUCCCCGCGGCGCGCCGCGCGCUCGGCCUGGGUCUCGGGCGGCCCCCGCGCGCGCACCCACCGGCCUCGGGGAGCAGGAGCCGGGGGCGCCUAGGAAACCGUCGCCGAGACGCCGCCGCCGCCGCUGCCCUCUGGACGCCGCCGCGCUCGGGGUUUCUUUUUUCUUUUUUUUUUUUUUUUUUUUGCCAAUCCUGAUGGGAAGGAAGGUGACCGCCUACUUCGCAUUCAUCAACUCUCAUCACAACAACAAAAAUCCUGGCGCAAACGGCGGCCAGCGGGCGCGAUCGGCGGAGUGGGGCGGCAGGCAGGGACACCCAGGCCGGCGCCCACCCCCGGGCGCCGAGAGGGGACACGGGGCCGGGGACGCAGACCAAAGAUGUCCUCGGAUGCCGGCUCCGUAUCCUUCGCCCUCCUCCUCCUCCCCGAGUGGCGCAGUGAGGCGCGGGCGCGGCGCCCCCAGCCCGCGGCCUCAGGUGAGGCGGGGGCGGGGGCGGCGGCGGGCCCAGCCCUCCCCCGGGGCCCCCCUUACCUCGUCCCGGGCCGCCGGCGUCCACGGCGAAGGGCGCCCACCCGGGAGGCGGCGGCGGCGGCGGCGGCUCCCGCCCCUCCCACCCCACCCGGCGGCGGUGGCGGUGGCGGCGGCUGUGCGGCCCCCACUCAGCGCGGCAUGGCUCCCGGCUCGGUCCCUCGCUCCUCGGGCCGCCGCCGGCUCCUCUGGGCCGUUCCCGGGCCACCUUAAAAUGACACACGCACACAGGGACACACACACAAAAACUUAAUCUCUC